GUCUAUUCACAUCCAAUAACAUUAGAACUAUACAGAAAAUAUUAGGAUGGUCCUUUCGCAAGAAUGACACGCACACAUUGAAAAAUAUAGUAAAAAAUA
rfam:Brassica napus, WGS project CCCW01000000 data, contig: 17984